rnacentral:rRNA from 1 species
CCUACGGGGGGCAGCAGUGGGGAAUAUUGGGCAAUGGAGGCAACUCUGACCCAGCAACGCCGCGUGAAUGAUGAAGGUCUUCGGAUUGUAAAGUUCUUUUCUAAGGGAAGAGUAGAAGACGGUACCUGUCGAAUAAGCCACGGCUAACUACGUGCCAGCAGCCGCGGUAAUACGUAGGUGGCAAGCGUUGUCCGGAUUUACUGGGUGUAAAGGGCGUGUAGCCGGGUUAACAAGUCAGAUGUGAAAUCCUGCGGCUUAACCGCAGAACUGCAUUUGAAACUGUUGAUCUUGAGUACUGGAGAGGCAGACGGAAUUCCUAGUGUAGCGGUGAAAUGCGUAGAUAUUAGGAGGAACACCAGUGGCGAAGGCGGUCUGCUGGACAGCAACUGACGGUGAGGCGCGAAAGCGUGGGGAGCAAACAGGAUUAGAUACCCCAGUAGUC